UACGUAGGGUGCGAGCGUUAAUCGGAAUUACUGGGCGUAAAGCGUGCGCAGGCGGUUUUGUAAGCCAGAUGUGAAAGCCCCGGGCUUAACCUGGGAAUGGCAUUUGGGACUGCAAGGCUUGAGUGCGGCAGAGGAGACUGGAAUUCCUGGUGUAGCGGUGAAAUGCGUAGAUAUCAGGAAGAACACCCGUGGCGAAAGCGGCUCUCUGGAACGGUACUGACGCUGAGACGCGAAAGCGUGGGGAGCGAACAGG
rnacentral:rRNA from 1 species